AGACCUUCCUAGAGCCGCCACAGGACUCGCCUGUCCGCUGCAGAGCUGUGGCCCUGGACUCCCAUCCACCCACCUCAGGGCUUGCACCGACUCCCCCACCGGGAGUCCUGGCUCCCCUCAGUUUCUGAGACCAGGGGUCUUCCCUAGCCUCUGCCCAGCUAUUCUCUUUCUCCCCCUCGCCGUGGCUGGUGGGGGACCCCCGAGUCCAAAGAGGAGACAAGGGGAGGAAGGCCCCCGGGGUCUGGGCUCCUGCGGGCAGCUUCUUUUUAUCUUUCCCAGGCCGUCCAGAUACCUACGACCACAAGAGGGCACGGGGCAGGGACAACGCUGUAGGGAGCAGCAGGAAUGGGCCGGCUGGAGGCGGGCGAGAACGGUGAUGGUGCCACCCUGGAGGACCGUCGGGAGGCCCAUGUAGGGUGUUUAAUGUUGCACGCGAACGCAGUUUCUUCCGGGCCCGGGAGGCCCACGCACGCAACAAUGUUGUGCAAGUGACUGGAAACUACCUGAGUGUCCCUCCAUGGGGGUGGGUUGCCCAGCAUGGACCUCUACUCCUGUCACAAUGAAGUUGACUGUUUCGUCGAGGGAAGUGGGCCACCGUUGAUAAAAUGAAAAGACGCCAGGCAGAAUACUGUGCACAGGAGGAAAGGUCUGCGUGCCCUAAGAGAGAGCUGCUGGCGUGCAGAGAGAAGCAGAGAUGCUGACGACGGGGAGGAAACACACUGGCGGUGGAUGCUGCGGAGAUGGACAGGACAGGAGACUAAGGAGGUGAGAACCCUGGCCCACACCAUCACUAAGGGCC